UGGGGAAUUUUGGACAAUGGGCGAAAGCCUGAUCCAGCAAUGCCGCGUGUGUGAAGAAGGCCUUCGGGUUGUAAAGCACUUUUGUCCGGAAAGAAAUCCUUGGCUCUAAUACAGUCGGGGGAUGACGGUACCGGAAGAAUAAGCACCGGCUAACUACGUGCCAGCAGCCGCGGUAAUACGUAGGGUGCAAGCGUUAAUCGGAAUUACUGGGCGUAAAGCGUGCGCAGGCGGUUUGCUAAGACCGAUGUGAAAUCCCCGGGCUCAACCUGGGAACUGCAUUGGUGACUGGCAGGCUAGAGUAUGGCAGAGGGGGUAGAAUUCCACGUGUAGCAGUGAAAUGCGUAGAGAUGUGGAGGAAUACCGAUGGCGAAGGCAGCCCCCUGGGCCAAUACUGACGCUCAUGCACGAAAGCGUGGGGAGCAAACAGGAUUAGAUACCCUGGUAGUCCACGCCCUAAACGAUGUCAACUAGUUGUUGGGGAUUCAUUUCCUUAGUAACGUAGCUAACGCGUGAAGUUGACCGCCUGGGGAGUACGGUCGCAAGAUUAAACUCAAAUGGAAUUGACGGGGUCAUAGCUGUUUCC
rnacentral:rRNA from 1 species